CGAGGAUUCUCCUAGUAACGGCGAGUGAACGGGGAAAAGCCCAGCGUCGAAUCCCUUGGCCGUUGGCCACUGGGAAUUGUGACGUAUAGGUGUGACUGUCCGGCUUUUUCGCUCACCCAAAGUCCCCUUGAGCGGGGCUACAGUCCUGAGAAGGUGCUAGACCUGUACGGGUGGUGAGAUGGUCGGUAGGUUGCUCCUUGGAGUCGGGUUGCCUGAGAUCGCAGCCCAAAGAGGGUGGUAAACCUCAUCUAAGGCUAAAUAUGACCACGAGACCGAUAGCAAACAAGUACCGUGAGGGAAAGUUGCAAAGAACUUUGAAGAGAGAGUUCAAGAGGGCGUGAAACCGCUGAGAUUGAAACGGAUAGAGUUGACGAAACUCGGCGGCAUUCAACCGGUUGAUCGAGCGGGCUUGCGGUCGCGGUCCUCGAUGAGGGUGCGGACGCUCGAGACUGCCUGCUCGACCGGUGCAUUUGCUGUCGGUAUGCGCCGGGAGCUUCGCUGCCGUCGGUUCAACCACGUUCAGAGGGCCGCCACAUCGGCGGUAACCUGUGCGCGGGUCGGCCGGCUGGCGGUGGAGUGAGCGCUUGUGUGCCGUCCCCGCUUCUGUGUGCGCUUGUCGUAGUUCGGUGUGGUGGGCCGUGGGCGGUCGCGUGCGAUCUGCUUGCGGUUCGUCUUGUCGAGUACGUGCGAGUGCGCUGGGAUGGCGUCCCGGUGUGAAAGUCGACCACCUAUCCGA
rnacentral:rRNA from 1 species